rnacentral:rRNA from 1 species
AAGGCUCAGUAUAACAGCUAUUAUUUAUUUGAUCGUAAACAUAGUUACUUGGAUAACUGUGGUAAUUCCAGAGCUAAUACAUGCAAACAACAUGGAUCCCUGCAGCAAUGUGGGUGAAACAUGUGCUUUUAUUAGAUUAAAACCAUGUCCACUCUCGGGUGGGCUUGUUUUAGAUGAAUCUGGAUAAUUAUGGCUGAUCGUAUGGUCUUGCACCGACGAUAGAUCAUUCAAAUGUCUGCCCUAUCAACUAUUGAUGGUAGUAUAGAGGACUACCAUGGUUGCAACGGGUAACGGGGAAUCAGGGUUCGA